rnacentral:rRNA from 1 species
AUUAACGCGAAGAACCUUACCAGGACUUGACAUCUGGCGAAUCUCGGUGAAAGCUGAGAGUGCCUUCGGGAACGCCAAGACAGGUGGUGCAUGGCUGUCGUCAGCUCGUGUCGUGAGAUGUUGGGUUAAGUCCCGCAACGAGCGCAACCCUCGUUUUUAGUUGCCAGCAUUAAGUUGGGCACUCUAGAGAGACUGCCGGGGACAACUCGGAGGAAGGUGGGGAUGACGUCAAGUCAGCAUGCCCCUUACGUCCUGGGCUACACACGUACUACAAUGGUCGAGACAAAGGGCAGCAAACCCGCGAGGGUAAGCGAAUCUCAUCAAACUCGGCCUCAGUUCAGAUUGCAGGCUGCAACUCGCCUGCAUGAAGGAGGAAUCGCUAGUAAUCGCAGGUCAGCAUACUGCGGUGAAUCCGUUCCCGGGUCUUGUACACACCGAAU